UGCUUCUAUUUCGAUUUGUACUUGUUGGGUAAUCUGACAACUCAAUAAAAUAUACUAAAUUACUACUUUACCGCUACUUAUAUAUAUACACACAAGCACAAUACUUGUUAAAAAUUCUUUUAAUUUCUCUUUAAUUUAUACAAACUAAUAAACCUAUUUAGUUUUCUAAAAGCCUAUAAGCCGAUAAAUUAAUAAAAUUAAAUCCUUUAAAUUUUCUCUCUAUUAAAUC
rnacentral:lncRNA from 1 species